AUUAAAAAAAAAAACAGCGAUAAAUCCGCUGCGGGGGACGCGCGGUGGUAUGAGUAACCUCUGAUUCCAUGGACUCAGCGAGCUGCGUACGCAAAAUAUGCGAUAAGUGUAAGCUUUGCAGCAGCAGGCAAGCGAUGCCAGCUAGACGUUAACAACACAAAAACAACAAAAAAAACGUGGAAAAACAACAACAACAACACCAAAGUAAAUGCAUGCAAACGGGUGAUUGAGCGAUCAUUGGAGUGAAAGUGCGUUUGUGUGCGUGCGUUUAUUGCACUCACAGCGACUCAGCGAGUAAGCGCAGCAGCAGCUGUAACUGCUGUAGCUGUAAGGAAGAAAUUGCAUAUAUACAAAGACAACUCCGACGGUGCUGGAUUCUUUAAACGAUCGCACAUAUGUAUGUAUAUGUUCAUAUAUGUAUAUAUGAAAAGCAAUAACUGAAGCGGCAGCAGCCAACAGCAACACACACAUAAUAAAUGCCAUGAAAAAAAUGAGAAUUCAAAUGUAUGCUGCGACGAUGAGGGCAAAUACAAUGCAAGGCAUAAAGUAUAAAGGAAUCAUAAGAACCAAAAAAAAAAAAACAACAACGACAACAACCAGACAGUCAGUCAGUCAAUUAAAAAAGUGCAAAAGGUAAAGCAAAUGGCAAGCGUACGAACGAAGAAAGAACUGCUGGAAGAACGACGAAAGUCAGCGAGGAGAUCAACAUGAUCGCAAUGCAACAGCAACUGCGCUGGCUAUGCUGACAGCGACGGCAACAACAGCACGGGCGUUAACGACGAACAGCGAACGACGACGGCGUUGAUGAUGAUGACGGCAACGAGAAGCUAAAGACCGAAAUAAGAAAGAAAAGCAGCAAACAAACAAAAAAAUCAAAAAAAUCGAAUUCAACAGCGAAACAGCAGCGACAGCAAUAUCAACAACAACGCAUGGCACACUCACACCAUUGCGCGAUGCGAGAACCGUGCAUUCGCUGCCCCAGAAUAUUUCACUUUCCAAAACCUAUAAAAGCUAAAGAUCUAUACGAACUCGAGUUUAUUAAAACGAGCGCUGUGCGCGUGCUAAGAUCGUUUGUCCGCCUGUGCGACUGUGGAGCUGAGAACGCAUUUUGAAAUUAAGAAUUGAAGGAGCUGCAGUUUAAAGUGAAAAUUUGUAUGCAAAAAACUGGAGGAUAAACUAAUUAUUAAUAUUAUUAAUGGCAAAAUGUGUUAACGAGGACAAAGCAGUGCGAAGCGAGUUUAAUUAAAUAUCGAAAUAAUAAACUUAUUUAAGAAAAACUUACAAAAAAGAUGCGGUAGUGAUAAAGUACACAAUAAACAUAUUUUCUCGGAGCAAAAAGCCAAAAAAAAAACUUUAAGUGAGUGCAUAAAAUUUUCAAGAAAAUCAUGAGCAACUAGCAGGACUAAAUAUUUCGAAAAAAAAUAUCAUAUAUCAUGGCAGCGGAUACUGGAUUAAAAAUCGCAUCAAUUUUGCGUGCUGCUAAGAAAGAGCCAGCUGGCAAGAAUGGCAACGUCAACGCGCAAUCAAAUGAAAUUCAAAUGCUAAACGUUAUAAUAAAUGCAUGGAAACAUAAUUUACAAACAAACAUAUAAUAUAAGUAAAUACAUACAAACAUAUAUAUAUAUAUAUAUAUAUAUAUAUAUAUAUAUAUACAUACAUGUAUAUAUAUAAAUACAUAUAUGGAUGCAAAGUGGCGCCGGCAAACGCAGAUACUCGCUUAUCAACAGCAAGCAAAUCAACCAACAACAAACCAGCUCAUAAAUAGAACAAACAAAAUUCUUAUAGCACAUACAUACAUACGUACAUACAAACAAACACUUGUAUAUUAGCUUUGGCGCUGACAUAGACAAACGAGCGCACAAACACCUCAGCGCAGCAAAGACAAAUGGGAAGGUCGCUCAAACAAAACUGAGAGUGUUCUACUGACAUGGAUUAGUUUUUGCCACUACGAGCGCGCUGGCAGCGCAAACUGACGUUGAUAAAACACGACGUCGACGAUGACUACGUCAAACGGUCGUUCAACAACCAUAGAAGACACGGGAAAAAUAGCAACUUAAUAGGACAAACCGGUCCACGAAGUGGCUAACAUACAGUAGCGCUGCUGGUAAACAGCGGCGGCGUCGAAGUCAACGUUAGCGGCAACGCCAGCGUUCAGCAGAAAAGCACUUAAAAACCUUGAAAAUGAAAUGUGGAGAAAGAAAACUGCUUGAUAUAUGAGGAAAAACUAACACCAGCGAAGAGCAGUGUUAAAGAAUGAGAGAGCGAGAGCGCGCGAACACUAAUUGAGUGACUUUAUGAGUGAGUUUUUCAGGUGAAAAAAAAGGAACAACAAUUUCAAGUGCUGAUCUACGGCAAUGUGAAAAGGAAAUAGAUUGGGUGUGGACGCCAGAAUUUGUUGGCGUUCGAUUCUGCACGAAAUGAGCGAAAUGAGUGAGUUUUAAGAGAUCACGUCAAAUGUAAAUAAACAGUUAACGUUUCAUGAACAACGAUAAAACUAUUCAUAAAUAAAUACGGUUAUUUAUUGAUUAUUAGAUUAGCGCAAUUCGGUAAACUUUGCGCCACACUAACAGUACACACGAUCACAUGUACUCGUAUAUGUAUAUGUAUAUAGUAUACUCGGACUGCACUCUUAAGUUUUCAGAGCGUUAAGUCAACGUCUAGUAGAUCGGCGACUCGGCGACUUUCUUUCGCGUGUUGGCCAAAAUGUGGCGCUUAGCGCCAUUUAAGCGGCGAUCGUGCGGCGCAGUUGCCUUUGUGACUUGGCGUCGAGCGGACACGUUUGCUGAUAGGUGUUAUAGAAAAAGUAACGGCAAAAGAUAAACGCAUAAAAAAUAUAUUUUUUUACUAGUGAUAAAUUAUUGCAUUGUGUUGGGAUGGCGGCGCGUACGUAUAAAUAACAGGCGAAUGCUUAUCAGCAUGACGCUGGUGUUUCAAGUAGCGGAGAGAGCGCGUGUGUAUAAGCGGUGCGCGCAUUAGAUUAGCAUUUGUUCGUGUUUUUUUUUUUAAUGUGUGUGUGUGUGUGUGUGCUCUUGUUUACUGAUUGUGUCCGUUUGCUCGUACAUAAAACGGGAGUCUAUAUAUACUUAUGUACUUUUGUAUUAUUUAUUCCUUUUUAUUUAUUUUUAAAUGUUCUCAAAUUAGCUUUGCUUUGAACUUGAACUUUUAAUGCCAA